rnacentral:rRNA from 1 species
ACGGAAGGCAGCAGUGAGGAGUAUUGGUCAAUGGACGGAAGUCUGAACCAGCCAUGCCGCGUGAAGGAAUAAGGCCCUAUGGGUCGUAAACUUCUUUUGUGGUGGAGCAAUAAGGUGCACGUGUGCAUCGAUGAGAGUACAUCACGAAUAAGCAUCGGCUAACUCCGUGCCAGCAGCCGCGGUAAUACGGAGGAUGCGAGCGUUAUCCGGAUUUAUUGGGUUUAAAGGGUGCGUAGGCUGUUCUUCAAGUCAGAGGUGAAGUACCGGGGCUCAACCCUGGAACUGCCUUUGAUACUGGAGGGCUUGAAUACUGUUGCCGUGGGAGGAAUGAGUAGUGUAGCGGUGAAAUGCAUAGAUAUUACUCAGAACACCGAUUGCGAAGGCAUCUCACGAAGCAGCGAUUGACGCUGAGGCACGAAAGCGUGGGGAUCAAACAGGAUUAGAUACCCUGGUA